ensembl:lncRNA
AAGAACAGUGGCUGAUUAAGGAACUCCAUGCCAACUGCCAAGACUGUGGACUUGUUUUGGCUGCUGAUCCUCAUGUUGGUGUGCAGGUUGACUGAGGGCUCAUUUUCAUUCCGAAGUCUCUGUCAGCUUGGAACAGUAGCAGAACUCAACCAAAGAAUGUGCUGGCUGCAUUUAGAUGGAUGUCCAAUGUGUAAUUAAAGCAAAAAAUGAAAAUACGUUUUCAGUCUGUCCUCCUCUUCAACCCUGUCCUCCAUUGCUACCCUGAACUCACCACAUGAUUGACAAAAGGCAAGUGGUUGGAAUACUUGGCGAAGCUUCUGUUCCAGUGUUAAAUUUGGUUCCUGGGAAGCAGCUGUGAUUGGGCCAAAGCACAUCAACCAUCCUCAAACCUUGACUCCAAGUAAAUAUUUAGUACCUUUACGAUUGGUUUUUCAUGAUUAUUACGUAUCUCAAAGGGGGAAAACUCAAUGGAAAAAGUCCCUGUUGUGUUUUAAAUGAAUCCUCAGGAGUGAUGGUUGGAAUGGCAACACAUUUCUGGGUAACCCUUAUAUAUCAGUUUAUGACCAUUUAAUAGUGUGUUGGACUGUUUUUAUAGUUACAGUUCAUCAUUAUUUUUACUGUUUGGAAAAUAUUAAAGUCACACACAUGCCUGCAUUCCAUUAUACUGUAUAGAUCUCAAGCUAGCUAGAAAUACUGAGGUACAGAAAUGUUACCUGUAUACUUUUCCAUCAACAUCACUAAUCUCACAGGUAAAUAUGGUGUUAACUGAUUACUGUAGGGCAGUGUUCAUAAGGCUCCAUGACACUUGCAUAAGCUUGUUGUGGAAAAUGACAAACCUACAUAGUAAGAGCCCUUCUUUCCCCAUCACCCCCUAAACAAGACCCCUUCUCAUAUCCCUAUGCUUUAAAAAGCUG